CAAUAGCGUAUAUUAAAGUUGUUGCGGUUAAAAAGCUCGUAGUUGGAUUUCUGUCGAAGACUGCCGGUCCGCUCUAUGAGCGUGUAUCUGGUUAGGCUUUGGCAUCCUCUUGAAGAACGUUGCUGUGCUUGAUUGCAUGGUGCGGUAUUCAAGACUUUUACUUUGAGGAAAUUAGAGUGUUCACGGCAGGCAAGCGCCUUGAAUAUAUUAGCAUGGAAUAAUAAUAUAGGAUCUUGGUUCUAUUUUGUUGGUUUCUAGAACUAGGAUAAUGAUUAAUAGGAUAAUUGGGGCGGAUUUGUAUUAACGCGUCAGAGGUGGAAUUCUUGGAUUGCGUUACGACAAACUACUGCGAAAGCAUUUGCCAAGGAUGUUUUCAUUUGAUCAAGAACGAAAGUAUGGGGAUCGA
rnacentral:rRNA from 1 species